AGAGUUUGAUCAUGGCUCAGGACGAACGCUGGCGGCGCGCUUAACACAUGCAAGUCGUACGGGGACACUCCUUCGGGGGUGUCUUAGUGGCGAACGGGUGCGUAACACGUGGGCGACCUGCCGAGGUGUGGGGGGCAACACGGGGAAACCCGUGCUAAUACCGCAUACGCUCUUCCUUCUGCAUGGAGGGGAGAGGAAAGCUCCUGAAAGGGAGCGCACCUUGAGGGGCCCGCGGCGUAUCAGGUAGUUGGUGAGGUAACGGCUCACCAAGCCGACGACGCGUAGCCGGUCUGAGAGGACGACCGGCCACAUUGGGACUGAGAUACGGCCCAGACUCCUACGGGAGGCAGCAGUGGGGAAUCUUGCGCAAUGGACGAAAGUCUGACGCAGCGACGCCGCGUGCGGGAAGAAGCCCUUCGGGGUGUAAACCGCUGUCACCGGGGAAGAACGGCCGGGAGAGGAAAUGCUCCUGGAGUGACGGUACCCGGGGAGGAAGCACCGGCUAACUCUGUGCCAGCAGCCGCGGUAAUACAGAGGGUGCGAGCGUUGUUCGGAAUUACUGGGCGUAAAGCGCGCGCAGGCGGCUGUUUAAGUCUCACCGUUCAAGCCCGGAGCUCAACUCCGGUCCGCGGGGGAUACUGGACAGCUAGGGACGUGUAGGGGCGAGCGGAAUUCCGGGUGUAGCGGUGGAAUGCGUAGAGAUCCGGAAGAACACCGGGGGCGAAGGCGGCUCGCUGGGCAUGGUCCGACGCUGAGGCGCGAAAGCGUGGGGAGCGAACAGGAUUAGAUACCCUAGUAGUCC
rnacentral:rRNA from 1 species